UACGUAGGCAGCGAGCGUUGUUCGGAAUUACUGGGCGUAAAGGGUGCGUAGGCGGUGCCUCAAGUUUGGUGUGAAAUCUCCCGGCUCAACCGGGAGGGUGCGCCGAAAACUGAGGUGCUCGAGUGUGGGAGAGGUAAGCGGAAUUCCUGGUGUAGCGGUGAAAUGCGUAGAUAUCAGGAGGAACACCGGCGGUGUAGACGGCUUACUGGACCAUAACUGACGCUGAGGCACGAAAGUGUGGGGAGCAAACAGGAUUAGAUACCCUGGUAGUCCACACCCUAAACGAUGCAUACUUGGUGUGAGCCAUUCAUUUGGUUCGUGCCGGAGCUAACGCGUUAAGUAUGCCGCCUGGGGAGUACGGUCGCAAGGCUGAA
rnacentral:rRNA from 1 species